AAUGGAGAGAAAAUUUCUUCCUGAAAAGGAAAUGGUGGUUGUGGAAGGAUGUACAAGAGUAGUUCCAGAGCUUCUUCAGACACAGAGGAGGAAACUGGGAGGCAGAAUAGCUGGUGGAAAAUGAAGAGUAUGGAGUCUUAUCUGUGGCCUUCAUUUACUUCAGAACUAUUCCAGAAGUUCUGCUGGAAGAGGGCCAGAGAAGACUGCUUCUUCUAUGGACAAUGAGGACUCAACACCUCACUGGGGCUGCUGGUGGUGGAGACCUCAGUGUGGGACACCUGAAAGAUUGGCCAGAAGUGACUUCUUAUCCCUGGGGAAUGCAGUAAAUGAGAAGAGACCCAAGAAACGAGUCCCUGUAUUAGCAGGGCAGUGCUAGGAUCUGUGCU
rnacentral:lncRNA from 1 species